ensembl:snoRNA LOC120093396 small nucleolar RNA SNORD113/SNORD114 family
GGGACCAAUGAUGAGAUCUGGUGGCGUCUGAGUGUUUCUCGAUGACAGCCUUGUGAACAGAUAUCUGAGGUCAGA